rnacentral:pre_miRNA from 1 species
CGUCCGGGAGCUGUAAACAUCCACGACUGGAAGCUGCCCCAGCUGUGUCCACGCGCUUUCAGUCCGGUGUUUACGGCUCCCGCCG